UCCCUACGGGGUGCACCAGGCGCGAAACCUCUGCAAUAGGCGAAAGCUUGACAGGGUUACUCUGAGUGAUUUCCGUUAAGGAGAUCUUUUGGCACCUCUAAAAAUGGUGCAGAAUAAGGGGUGGGCAAGUCUGGUGUCAGCCGCCGCGGUAAUACA
rnacentral:rRNA from 1 species